rnacentral:RNase_P_RNA from 1 species
AAAGCAGGUCAGACGAUCGCGUUCCACCAUCGGUGGAAUGAGGAAAGUCCGAACUCCAUAGGGCAGGGUGGUCCGUAACACGGACUCCGGGUGACCGGGGGAAAGUGCCACAGAAAAUACACAGUCCCGCCCUGCGGGAUAAAGGUGAAAUGGCGAGGUAAGAGCUCACCGCUUCAAUGGUGACAUUGAAGGCAGGGCAAACCCCACCCGGAGCAAGACCAAAUAAGCGGAGAGAGGCGGCCCGUCUCAUUUGAUCCGCGGGUAGGUCGCUUGAGAUGCCGGGCAACCGGCAUCCCAGAUAAAUGAUCGUCAUCCCGCCGCAAGCGGGACUACAGAAUUCGGCUUAUCGACCUGCUUUGGCU